GCAAGUCGAACGGACCCUUCGGGGUUAGUGGCGGACGGGUGAGUAACACGUGGGAACGUGCCUUUAGGUUCGGAAUAGCUCCUGGAAACGGGUGGUAAUGCCGAAUGUGCCCUUCGGGGGAAAGAUUUAUCGCCUUUAGAGCGGCCCGCGUCUGAUUAGCUAGUUGGUUGGGGUAAUGGCCCACCAAGGCUACGAUCAGUAGCUGGUCUGAGAGGAUGACC
rnacentral:rRNA from 1 species